rnacentral:rRNA from 1 species
GGGGAAUAUUGGACAAUGGGCGAAAGCCUGAUCCAGCCAUGCCGCGUGUGUGAAGAAGGUCUUCGGAUUGUAAAGCACUUUAAGUUGGGAGGAAGGGCAGUAAAUUAAUACUUUGCUGUUUUGACGUUACCGACAGAAUAAGCACCGGCUAACUCUGUGCCAGCAGCCGCGGUAAUACAGAGGGUGCAAGCGUUAAUCGGAAUUACUGGGCGUAAAGCGCGCGUAGGUGGUUUGUUAAGUUGGAUGUGAAAGCCCCGGGCUCAACCUGGGAACUGCAUCCAAAACUGGCAAGCUAGAGUACGGUAGAGGGUGGUGGAAUUUCCUGUGUAGCGGUGAAAUGCGUAGAUAUAGGAAGGAACACCAGUGGCGAAGGCGACCACCUGGACUGAUACUGACACUGAGGUGCGAAAGCGUGGGGAGCAAAC